GAUGAACGCUGGCGGCGUGCUUAACACAUGCAAGUCGAACGGGAAACCUUUUAUUGAAGCUUCGGCAGAUUUAGCUGGUUUCUAGUGGCGGACGGGUGAGUAACGCUUGGGUAACCUGCCUUAUACAGGGGGAUAACAACCAGAAAUGGUUGCUAAUACCGCAUAAGCGCACAGGACCGCAUGGUCCGGUGUGAAAAACUCCGGUGGUCUAAGAUGGACCCGCGUUGGAUUAGCUAGUUGGCAGGGUAACGGCCUACCAAGGCGACGAUCCAUAGCCGGCCGGGGAGGGUGAACGGCCACAUUGGGACUGAGACACGGCCCAGACUCCUACGGGAGGCAGCAGUGGGGAAUAUUGCACAAUGGGGGAAAGCCUGAUGCAGCGACGCCGCGUGAAGGAAGAAGUAUCUCGGGAUGUAAACUUCUAUCAGCAGGGAAGAUAGUGACGGUACCUGACUAAGAAGCCCCGGCUAACUACGUG
rnacentral:rRNA from 1 species